UCCCAUAGAACACCGCUCCCCUCCAUCCCCUCGAACUAUCAUUUUGUCCUAGGUCGACCCCCUCGAUCGCGGCCUCCACCGUACGAUCUCGCCGCCGCCGUAUGGGAUCACCUACGACGUACAAUCUCGCCGCCACUGCAAGCCUUUCCUCCCACCCCGCCUCCUCUCGUCUCUUUGCCCCCGAUCUAGAUGGCGCCUCCAAUCUCGGCGGGGCGGCGACCUCGAGCGACGGCAGCACUGCUGGAUCUCCUCCACCCCCACUCAAUCAAUACUGGUACCCGAGGCUCUCCUCCUCGACCGACCGCGAGCAACGCCGCCGCCUCACCGUCUUCUUCUACCAUCACCAACCGCCUGCUCGCGUCCCCGCCAUCCCCUUGUUUGUGGUCUGUGAUGGAGUGAAGUAUCGAUGACCAUCACCUCUCCCCCGCCAUCAUAUUCCCUAGAGGUGGAUACAAAGCUUUGGGAUGGCCCACUCGGUGCCGGCUGGAACACCGACGACGCCGGGCUCCUCGGCGUGGCUCCCGCGAGAAUGGGUGCACAUCGGAAUCUGUCCUGGUUUGUGUGGUAGUAGCAUUUUUUUCUUUGAUUGUACGUAGCUUUUUAAGUUUCUUGAUCAAAUGGUGUUUGAUCGGAUUUUUUUUUGGUCAUCAACGCCAGCGAUUCCAUGGCGAAGUGAUUGUGUUCGACAACAGUAACUUGGGUUGGUUUCCAUCUAUAGAUUGUAGAUGAGAAAUGAUACCUGGUGGAGGCAAUGUUCUGUACAAGUGCUUGAUUAGAACGACACUGCAAAUAAAUUGGUGACAAGAGGCAAAUUCUUGCGGUGCCCGAUGAGGACAUACUCCUACAUCGAUCCAUGUACGAACUGGGAGCAGCAUCGAUCCGAUGAACGCACAAGGAAUAUCCAACAGAUUACCCUUACUACUAUAUUUUUUAUCCAUGAAUGUCAUCUUGGGCCCCUGUACGAUUUGAUUACAUGAUGUUGUGUCCUCAAACUUUACUCUGAGUUAUUUGUUAGAUGCUCGGUGAAAUUCAGAAUUAUUUUUCUUCUGUCUUCCCAGUGAUGGAAGGUAGAUUGAGCUGAUAAAUUUCUGCACCCACCUUGAGGUCCAUAACGUUCUCCUAAUUGUAUGCAGCACAACCGUAAAGAUGUAUUUGUUUGAGGGAGAGGACUGUCUCUUAUCAGAAGCAACAUUAUGUGAUCAUCAUGUGUUGGAUCUUGGUCCCCUGUAUGAGUUGAAUACAUGAUUGAUGGAAGGUAGAUUGAGCUGAAAAUUUUCUGCACCCACCUUGAGGUCCAUAAGGUUCUCCUAAUUAUAUGCAGCCCAAUCGUAAAGAUAUAUUUGUUUGCGGGAGAAGACUAUCAGUUAUCAGAAGCAACAUUAUGUGAUCAUCAUGUGUGAGAGAGACGGCAAAGAUAGGUUCAUGAUUGAUUAUGGCAACAAGGAAAUCACUCGAGAAGGAUUUUAUUAGUAUGCACACUUUGAGACUUGAGAGGCUGUUAUUGAUUAAGGAAUCUAUGUCUGCUAGAGAGGCUGAUGCCAAAUCAGCAUCGGAAAAGGGCAAGAUAAGGGGACUGAGGGAGCAUAGGAGAGCAAGAUGGGGUGGUCUGCAUCACCUUCAGUUGGCACAUGCGCAUGCACCUGCAGUAAUCAUUAUCUUUCCCAUGGUUAAGAUAUGAAAUUGGCCUGAUAGCUCUUAUGUUAGCACUUUCUAAAGUUCACAUUUAUUUGUGUGCUCAAGAAAUAUCUGGACAAUCUUUUGCUAGCGGUAAGUUUCAUGUUUGUGACUUUUUGCUAUGUCAAACGAAGAACAGAAGCCCGAAGCCCGUUACUGUGUGAAGGAAUGGCCUCCUUCUGAAGAUAUUUAAUUCACCAUGCUUAUUCAGUUUGUGACGGAAUGGUCUGAUUGCUGAUCCGGGUUUUUUGCAUUAGCGAUGAAGUAGAUGAGUGCAAUGUGGUUGAAGAAGGGAAAGGAACAAGCGAGAUGAGAUAUUUUGAAGCGACAUCAAUUCUAGAGAAAGAUGGACGAUGUGCAGGGAAAUGAGGGGUGGAGGAAAAGAUGUCACUUGUCUUCUCAAAAUUAGAGGGUUAAAGAGGUAGGACAACUGCCAAGGAGGAAAGUGCAGAUGAAGAGAGCAGAUAUGAAGGGGAAGGAGGGGCGGAGAAAAAUAUGUCACUUCUAUUCUCAAGUAGAAGAUGGUUUGAAGAGACAUGACAACCACCGAGGAGGAAAUAAGCAUGAGCGAGAAUUAACUCACAUUUCUGAAAUAGAACAAAUGUUUGACAAUGUCUUCUUUAUUCCUGCAAUGCAAGGGUAGCGGCAGCUGGGCUUGAUUAAUUGCACUCUUUGAAGGAUUGACGAUUGCUGCAGCGUCUGAUCAUGUGAGGGUAAUAAAUAUUUUUCUUGCUAAAAAACCGUUGUCACUUGGAAUAAUAUACGACGGGGACCUCAUUGGAGUUUAU